rnacentral:rRNA from 1 species
AAUGGCAGGUCAGCAUACUGCCGUGAAUACGUUCCCGGGCCUUGUACACACCGCCCGUCACACCAUGAGAGUUGGGGAUACCCGAAGCCUGUGAGCUAACAGUAAUGGAGCAGCAGUCGAAGGUAGAAUCAAUGAUUGGGGUGAAGUCGUAACAAGGUAGC